CCCUUAGAUGUUCUGGGCAGCACGCGCGCUACAAUGGUCUUCGCAAACGGAUGCAUUCUCGAAGGAGAAUGCCAAUCUUGGAAUCUAUGCCUUGGUCGGGACAGUUGCUUGCAAUUUUUCGACUCGAACCAGGAAUUCCUUGUAAUCGUGAUUCAUCACAUCACGAUGAAUACGUCCCUGCCUUUUGUACACACCGCCCGUCGCUCCUACCGAUCGAAGAGUUAGGUGAAUUGUUUUGAUCGAUAAGAUUUGACUAUGGUCAACUCUCGUUGUGAAAUUCUGUGAAUCUGACUGUUUAGAGGAAGGAAAAGUCGUAACA
rnacentral:rRNA from 1 species